rnacentral:tRNA from 1 species
ACUAAAAUGGCAGAAGUUAUGCGGGUAGUUYAGGUCUAUCAUAUAUUAUUUAGUU